rnacentral:lncRNA from 1 species
UUCAUGCCUUAAACAUAACUCCUUUUUAUUAUGUUUGUAUUUCGAAUGAUGAUUGAGUUACGCAUGGGUAUCUGUUCAGGUAUUAUGACAGCUUCUUGGACGCAAAUGCUUUAAAUGGUAUGGACUGCUUGAGAUCUGUGGCUGCUUCAACUCUACCCUAUCUGCUCCUAAGUUGUGGUUUUAUGACUAAGUUGUUUGCUAGAAUUUGUUUAGUUGGAACAAAUUGCUGUAUUAUGUGAAGAACGAGCUGCAAAGUAUUUGAAAAUUUGCUUACUUCUGAUACUUCAAGUUAUAAGUUUUUUGGGUACAAUCAUGUAUGCCAAUUUGGCAAAUGUGUUAUUUUAUCAUUGUGGUAUCUGAAAGAGUGUCCAAUUUGCUUGGCAA